rnacentral:rRNA from 1 species
GAUGAACGCUAGCGGCAGGCUUAACACAUGCAAGUCGAGGGGUAACAGGGAAGAGCUUGCUUUUCCGCUGACGACCGGCGCACGGGUGAGUAACGCGUAUAGAACCUACCUUUUACAGGGGAAUAGCCCAGAGAAAUUUGGAUUAAUGCCCUAUAGUAUUAUUGAAUGGCAUCAUUUAGUAAUUAAACAUUUAUGGGUAAAAGAUGGCUAUGCGUUCUAUUAGCUAGAUGGUAAGGUAACGGCUUACCAUGGCAACGAUAGAUAGGGGUCCUGAGAGGGAGAUCCCCCACACUGGUACUGAGACACGGACCAGACUCCUACGGGAGGCAGCAGUGAGGAAUAUUGGACAAUGGAGGCAACUCUGAUCCAGCCAUGCCGCGUGCAGGAAGACGGCCCUAUGGGUUGUAAACUGCUUUUAUACGGGAAGAAACCCAACUACGUGUAGUUGGCUGACGGUACCGUAAGAAUAAGCACCGGCUAACUCCGUGCCAGCAGCCGCGGUAAUACGGAGGGUGCAAGCGUUAUCCGGAAUCAUUGGGUUUAAAGGGUCCGUAGGCGGGCUAAUAAGUCAGGGGUGAAAUCCAACAGCUUAACUGUUGAACUGCCUUUGAUACUGUUAGUCUUGAAUUAUAUGGAAGUAGAUAGAAUGUGUAGUGUAGCGGUGAAAUGCUUAGAGAUUACACAGAAUACCGAUUGCGAAGGCAGUCUACUACGU